rnacentral:rRNA from 1 species
CCCUUAGAUGUCCUGGGCCGCACGCGCGCUACACUGAUGCAUUCAACGAGUUUUACCUUGGCCGAGAGGCCUGGGCAAUCUUUUAAACCUGCAUCGUGAUAGGGAUAGAUUAUUGCAAUUAUUAAUCUUGAACGAGGAAUUCCUAGUAAACGCAAAUCAUCAAUUUGCAUUGAUUACGUCCCUGCCCUUUGUACACACCGCCCGUCGCUCCUACCGAUUGAGUGCUCAGGUGAAUAAUUCGGACUGCAGCAAUGUUCGGAUCCCGAACGUUGCAGCGGAAAGUUUAGUGAACCUUAUCACUUAGAGGAAGGAGAAGUCGUAACA